rnacentral:rRNA from 1 species
ACGCCUAACACAUGCAAGUCGAACGAAGUAGCAAUACUUAGUGGCAGACGGGUGAGUAACAUGUGGGUAUCUGCCCUUUGGCCUGGAAUAACACGAGGAAACUUGUGCUAAUACCGGAUAAGUCUUUACGGAGAAAGCUUUAUGCACCAUUGGAUGAGCCCGCACUUGAUUAGUUUGUUGGUAGGGUAAUGGCCUACCAAGACUUUGAUCAAUAGCUGAUUUGAGAGGAUGAUCAGCCACAUUGGGACUGAGACACGGCCCAAACUCCUACGGGAGGCAGCAGUGGGGAAUCUUGCACAAUGGAGGAAACUCUGAUGCAGCGAUGCCGCGUGAGUGAAGAAGGCCUUUGGGUUGUAAAGCUCUUUCGUCGGGGAAGAAAAUGACUGUACCCGAAUAAGAAGGUCCGGCUAACUUCGUGCCAGCAGCCGCGGUAAUACGAAGGGACCUAGCGUAGUUCGGAAUUACUGGGCUUAAAGAGUUCGUAGGUGGUUGAAAAAGUUGGUGGUGAAAUCCCAGAGCUUAACUCUGGAACUGCCAUCAAAACUUUUCAGCUAGAGUUUGAUAGAGGAAAGCAGAAUUUCUAGUGUAGAGGUGAAAUUCGUAGAUAUUAGAAAGAAUACCAAUUGCGAAGGCAGCUUUCUGGAUCAUUACUGACGCUGAGGAACGAAAGCAUGGGUAGCGAAGAGGAUUAGAUACCCUCGUAGUCCAUGCUGUAAACGAUGUGUGUUAGACGUUGGAAAUUUAUUUUCAGUGUCGCAGCGAAAGCGAUAAACACACCGCCUGGGGAGUACGA